UUGGCUUUUAACACAUUGCAAGUCGAGCGGUAAGGCCCUUCGGGGUACACGAGCGGCGAACGGGUGAGUAACACGUGAGCAACCUGCCCCUGACUCCGGGAUAAGCGGUGGAAACGCCGUCUAAUACCGGAUACGACCCUCCUCCGCAUGGUGGGGGGUGGAAAGUUUUUUCGGUCGGGGAUGGGCUCGCGGCCUAUCAGCUUGUUGGUGGGGUAACGGCCUACCAAGGCGAUUACGGGUAGCCGGCCUGAGAGGGCGACCGGCCACACUGGGACUGAGACACGGCCCAGACUCCUGCGGGAGGCAGCAGUGGGGAAUAUUGCGCAAUGGGCGAAAGCCUGACGCAGCGACGCCGCGUGGGGGAUGACGGCCUUCGGGUUGUAAACCUCUUUUACCACUCACGCAGGCCCCGGGUUCUCCCGGGGUUGACGGUAGGUGGGGAAUAAGGACCGGCUAACUACGUGCCAGCAGCCGCGGUAAUACGUAGGGUCCGAGCGUUGUCCGGAAUUAUUGGGCGUAAAGAGCUCGUAGGCGGCGUGUCGCGUCUGCUGUGAAAGACCGGGGCUUAACCCCGGUUCUGCAGUGGAUACGGGCAUGCUAGAGGUAGGUAGGGGAGACUGGAAUUCCUGGUGUAGCGGUGAAAUGCGCAGAUAUCAGGAGGAACACCGGUGGCGAAGGCGGGUCUCUGGGCCUUACCUGACGCUGAGGAGCGAAAGCAUGGGGAGCGAACAGGAUUAGAUACCCUGGUAGUCCAUGCCGUAAACGUUGGGCGCUAGGUGUGGGGACUUUCCACGGUUUCCGCGCCGUAGCUAACGCAUUAAGCGCCCCGCCUGGGGAGUACGGCCGCAAGGCUAAAACUCAAAGGAAUUGACGGGGGCCCGCACAAGCGGCGGAGCAUGUUGCUUAAUUCGACGCAACGCGAAGAACCUUACCAAGGGUUUGACAUCACCCGUGGACCUGUAGAGAUACAGGGUCAUUUGGUUGGCGGGUGACAGGUGGUGCAUGGCUGUCGUCAGCUCGUGUCGUGAGAUGUGGGUUAAGUCCCGCAACGAGCGCAACCCUUGUCCAUGUGCCAGCACGUAAUGGUUGGGGACUCAUGAAG
rnacentral:rRNA from 1 species